CUUUUGGACUCUAGGAUUAGUUCUCUAUAGUCAAUACCUAUCUAAGCAGCAUCUCAACAUAUACAUAGAAUCUAAUGAAUCUGCUACUUCUAUAUAGGAAAACAAUUUAGAGAUAACACUUUUUGUCAUUUGUGAUACCUCUGCUCUCUAGUAUGCAACUGGAUGACAAUUUCUCUUAUUCGAUACCCACUUUCUUUCUUUUCCUGCUGAAACCUUCGACUAUUCUGUUCCUGUCAGACAUGGUAGACAGUAGCAGCAAACAACUAUCUUACAAUUUCUUGCCUUGCUCUACCUCCCCUCGUUAUUUUAGUCAUCCAAUUUAGUUCUUCAUUCCAUGUAGUUAUCUGUCUAGGUUCUCCUACCCAUCGCAACAAAGUAGCUCAUAUUUGUCUUGAAUAAGUACAUCCAAAGAACAGAUGUGUAAAGAUUUCAUCCUCACUUGAGCUGCAUAAGACACAUUCUUUAGGAACAUGAAUCCCCCAUCUUUCCAGUCGAUCAAUGGUAGCCAAUCGUUGUCGAACUGCAAGCCAUAGUAUGAAAUGAUGUCUUGGCAUCAGCUGUGUUCUUAUAGUAUUGUGUUUCCAAGGUACUUUCUGGUACUGUGGACAUAGAGAUAGGUAAGCUUUCUUUAUGUUGAAACCUCAUGUGUAGUACAUUUCUGCAGUUCCCAUGUAAGGUCCUUGUCCCUAUACCAAUUUCUUGCAUCAAAGAUCUUCCUCACAAGCCAACAUGUUUGUUUAGGUGUUGGCAUAUUGGCUAAGUCUCUAUUUUUUAUAUAGAAUCCAUGAAUCCAUAGAACCCAAAUAGACUCUUUUCUUAUAAUCACUGCCCAGAUAAGUUUACAGAUUGCUGUUUUGUUUCAUGUGUAAAAAUUGAUGAGAUUUAACCCUCCAGUUGACCUGGGCAUACAUAGUUGUUUCCAUGACACUAGUGCCUUCGUCGAUGCUUCACAGCUUCCUGUCCAAAGAAAUGUUCUACAGAUACUCGUUAGUAAUUGAAUUACUUUCUUUGGUAAUAGAUAGACGUGAGCCCAAUAUGUUUGCAUCUCAAACAGUACGCUUUUGAUCAAUUAAAUCUUCCAUUAUAUGAUAGCAGCUUGAUAGUCCAGCAUCUGAUUUUUGAUGCCAUUCUCUCUACUAAGUGCAUACAUUGUUGUAUAAUGAGCUUCCUAGAAGAGAGGGGAACACCAAGAUACUUAAAGGGCAUCUCCUAUAAAGUAAACUGCAUUUCAGUUAAGAUUUGUUCCUUCAGGUUUGUUGGGACACCAGUGAUAUACAGAGAACUUUUGUCCAAAUUUGCUCUAAGACCAGAAACACCCAGGAAAUGAUCGAAUGCUUGAAGCAACAGCUGGAUUGAUAUUCUAUCCGCUCGACAACACAUUAUGAGAUCAUCCGCAAAACAUAUAUGCACCAACUUCAUCUUCCCAGACCUUGGAUGGUAGUUGAAGUCAGGGUUAUGUUGUGGUUGCUUCAGAGUCCUGUUCAAGUAUUCCAUAGCCAGAACAAAGAGGUGGGGAGACAUAAGGUCCCCUUGCCUUGAUCCCUUUUUUACCACAAACUUAGGUAUAAGCCCUCCAUUGAUUAGGAGUGAGUAGCUCACUGUGGUAAUACAUUCCAUGAUCAAAUUCACAAACUUCCCAGGCAAGCCAAAUUUCAACAGUACACUCUUUAGAAAACCCCAUUCCACUGAAUCAUAUGCUUUCCUUAUAUCAAUUUUGAUAAGACAUCUAGGUGAUAAUCCUUUCUGAGUAUAGCCUUAGCUAAUUCAUGAGUCACUAUAACAUUGUCCAGUAUACUCCUCCCUGCUAUGAAAGCUGAUUGGGAUGGCCCAACUAAAGAAUCCACUACUGUCUUCAACCUGGCAAUGAGAAUUUUUGCUAUAAGCUUGUACAUGGUAGUGCAGCAAGCUAUAGAUCUAUACUCUUUCACAUAUGUUGGAUUAGUGACCUUGGGUACUAAUGUUAUUAUAGUACAAUUGAUCUCCUUUAAUAGUUUUCCAUUGUCAAAGAAUUGUAGGAUAGCCUGAGUAACUUCUUCUCAUAUUAUUCCCCAAAACUCCUUGAAAAAUUCUGUAGUGAACCCAUCAAUUCCAGAAGAUUUGUCAUUAGGUAAAUCCCUCAAUGCCUGAAUCACUUUCAUUUUUAUGACAGGUUGAAUAAGAGCUUGUCGUUGCUCCUUAUUGAGGGCAUGAUCCAUCUUUGGCAUAGUAGGUGUUUAGGCAUGGAUCUCUUGAGCACUUGUUCCUAGCAGCUUUUGAAAGAAUUCUGUGAAUUCUCUUUGCACUUGCGUAGGCUCUGUUAGUUGCACUUCUUGAUCAUUCCAUAUUGACACAAUACUAUUCCUCCCUUGUCUAGCUUUGAGUUGAGCAUGAAAGUACUUAGAAUUGGAAUCCUCAUGAUUGAUCCAAACAACUUUAGAUUUUUGCCUAAGCACUCUUUUAUAAAUAAUAGACCACUUCUCUAGAUCCUUCAGAAUCUCUCUCUCUCUACCAAAAUCAGUUGAGGAUUAUAGAAAUCAUUUCCCUAUUUUACUAAUAUAUAGAAGAGCGAGAGAAGCAGUUGAAGGUCGUCAUGUCUGCUUGCUGCUAAAGGAUAUUUAGGUAUUUUCACAUAUCUUCUAUUUUCCCCUGUGCUUACACGUGCGCUGAAUUUUGCUGAGUAAGCUGCAUAUGAGAUAAGAAUGCAUCUACAGAUACAUGUCGAUGUUUUCUACGAAAUUUCAUCGAAUUUUACUCCCAGCAUCUCUCUUCUUCUGUAUCUUCUAUGGAAUUUUCUCCGUGAGCUUUUGCUGGAUUUCUCAGUAACAACACGAGAAUUUCUCCGCCAUUCUUCUUUACUCACUGGUUGUAUCAUUGUGAAGAGACAGUGUUUAUAGCAAGAAAAAGCUAUCUGUAGCUUAAACCCCAAAGUUAACUCCUUCUCACUGUAAAACCUUCUUUGCCACCUCAUUUGUAUUCUUUAUGAUUAUUUUUAGUUGAAUAUUGUAUUUUGCUCUGUUAA